rnacentral:rRNA from 1 species
AUGCAGCCGCUUGAUGAGAAGGAUUUGGAAAGGAAGCUGAAGAAAGAGCAGAAGGUGCUUGUUCUAAUAUGGUUCUGUGCUGUUCACGAUGGAGCGAAAUCGAAGGAGGGGAAGAAGCUCAAGGCAAAGCAGAAGGAGGAGGCCAGACUACAGGUCCAAGCAGCAUCCGAUGGAGCCAAGAAGAGUGAGAAGAAGCAAAAGAAGAAAGGUGUCACGGAUGAGAAUCCCGAGGAUCUCGUUGAUCCGGAUACUCCCACUGGACAGAAGAAACUGCUUGCUUCUCAAAUGGCCAAACAAUAUAGCCCGUCCGCUGUCGAGAAAUCAUGGUAUCCUUGGUGGGAGUCAUCACAGUAUUUUGUAGCAGAUGCCGCAAGCUCAAAGCCACCUUUUGUAAUAGUCCUGCCACCCCCAAAUGUGACAGGAGCCCUUCACAUAGGCCAUGCAAUUACAGUGGCAAUUGAGGAUGCUAUGAUCCGCUGGCGGAGGAUGUCAGGCUACAAUGCUUUGUGGAUUCCUGGAAUGGAUCAUGCUGGCAUAGCUACACAGGUCGUUGUGGAAAAGAAGAUCAUGCGUGAGAGGAAGCUGUCAAGGCAUGAUCUAGGGCGUGAUAAAUUUCUAUCUGAGCUCCACAACUGGAAAGAUCAGUAUGGUGGCACCAUACAGAGACAACUGCGUACGCUUGGAGCCUCGCUUGACUGGUCGCGCGAAUGUUUUACAAUGGAUGAGCAGAGAUCAGGAGCUGUAACAGAAACAUUUGUUAGGCUAUACAAGGAAGGUUUGAUAUAUAGGGAUAUUCGUCUCGUGAACUGGGAUUGCACGCUCCGUACAGCAAUUUCUGAUAUCGAGGUUGACCGUGUUGAUCUCAAGGCAGAGACUUUCUUAGAGGUCCCUGGUUAUAGCAACCCAGUUCAGUUUGGUGUUUUGACAUCUUUUGCCUACCCUCUAGAAGAAGGAUUGGGUGAAAUUAUCGUUGCAACAACUAGAAUAGAAACUAUGCUCGGUGAUACCGCUAUAGCUGUUCAUUCUCAGGAUGAAAGAUAUAAGCAUCUGCAUGGAAAAUAUGCCGUGCAUCCGUUUAAUGGCCGAAAACUUGAAAUAAUUUGCGCCGAUGACUUGGUGAAAGCCACUUUUGGUACUGGCGCUGUCAAGAUCACGCCAGCUCAUGAUAGCAAGGACUUCGAGGUUGGGAAACAGCAUAACCUGGACUUCAUCAAUAUUUUCACUGAUGACGGGAACAUAAAUGAAAAUGGAGGUCCACAAUUUGAAGGAAUGCCACGUUUCACCGCUCGAGCUGCUGUUAUUGAUGCACUAAAGGAAAAGGGUCUAUACAGAGGCAUGGAAAAUAAUGAGAUGGAAUUAGGUCGUUGUUCAAGAACUAAUGAUAUCGUCGAGCCAAUGAUCAAGCCCCAAUGGUUUGUUAAUUGUAAUACCAUGGCAAAGGCAGCUCUUGAUGCUGUGAAAUCCAAAGAGAUAGAGAUCAUUCCACCACAAUAUGAGCAAGACUGGUACAGGUGGCUUGAAAACAUACGCGAUUGGUGUAUUUCAAGACAACUUUGGUGGGGACACCGUGUACCUGCCUGA